CAGCAACCCUCUCUAGGAUGUCACUGAUGUACCGUGGAUACUGGUCUUGUGUACAGAGGAUGAUCAUGGACAUGUGGUACAACAACCCUCUCUAGGAUGUCACUGAUGUACCGUGGAAACUGGUCUUGUGUACUGAGGAUGUUCACGGACAUGUGGUACAACAACCCUCUCUAGGAUGUCACUGAUGUACCGUGGAUACUGGUCUUGUGUACAGAGGAUGAUCAUGGACAUGUGGUACAACAACCCUCUCUAGGAUGUCACUGAUGUUCCGUGGAUACU